rnacentral:rRNA from 1 species
AUGCACGCUGGCGGCGUGCCUAAUACAUGCAAGUCGAGCGAACAGACGAGGAGCUUGCUCCUCUGACGUUAGCGGCGGACGGGUGAGUAACACGUGGAUAACCUACCUAUAAGACUGGGAUAACUUCGGGAAACCGGAGCUAAUACCGGAUAAUAUAUUGAACCGCAUGGUUCAAUAGUGAAAGACGGUUUUGCUGUCACUUAUAGAUGGAUCCGCGCCGCAUUAGCUAGUUGGUAAGGUAACGGCUUACCAAGGCGACGAUGCGUAGCCGACCUGAGAGGGUGAUCGGCCACACUGGAACUGAGACACGGUCCAGACUCCUACGGGAGGCAGCAGUAGGGAAUCUUCCGUAAUGGGCGAAAGCCUGACGGAGCAACGCCGCGUGAGUGAUGAAGGUCUUCGGAUCGUAAAACUCUGUUAUUAGGGAAGAACAAAUGUGUAAGUAACUAUGCACGUCUUGACGGUACCUAAUCAGAAAGCCACGGCUAACUACGUG